GGCAAGUAUAUAAAGAAAUUAUUAUGGAUAAUUAGCUAUAUAUUAAAGAAUAUCUAGUCAAUCUAGUUUCUAAGAGAAAUCAGAUAAUAAACGAAGUGAAUUGAAAUAUCUUAGUAACUUUAGGAAAAGAAAUCAAACGAGAUUGUUAUUUGGUGUCAACUAAAUAACAAAAGCCUAAUAACAAAACUUGUUAAAAGUAAAAUGGAUUAAAAUCUGUUUGAAUAUAGGGGAACCUUCCUCUAAGGCUAAAAAUGAUAUAUAAGCGAUAGUGAAAAGUACCGUGAGGUAAAAUUUGAAAUAGUAAUUUUAUAAGCAGCUCGAGUGAAAUUUAAAUAAAUAAUAAGAGCGUACCUUUUGCAUAAUGGGUCAGCAAGUUAAUUUUAGAUGCAAGCAAUGAUUUUAUGCGCUUUUCGCAUAAAACUAGCUUAGAUAAACCAAUUAUGAAAAAAUGAAUAAGUAUCUAGAAUUAGACCCGAAGGCUAGUGAUCUUACCAUGGUCAGGGUUAUAAAAGCCCGAACGGGUUAUCGUUGUAUA
rnacentral:ncRNA from 1 species